CUCUCAAUUUGCUCUCCACCAAUAACCACUUUAUCAGUUUCAUUAUAACCCCUCUCAAUCAGAAAAAGAGGAAGAAAAUACUCAGAUUUCCAAUCAACCUCCCUUGAAGCCAGAGAAGAUGGGAACUAAAGGGAGAGAAAAUGGAUCUUCAGUGAAACUGGCUGACCCUGGGAUGGGAGUGCAUGUUUGGAGUUGAACCCAGAAUUCCUAUUCACAUUCUGAGUUGGUUCUUUCAUCAUAAUUAUCCAAGUGAGAAGUUCUUCUUUAUUUUUGAUAUAAGCUAUUUCUUCCCCUCCUGGAAGAUGACAGCAUGAUGCAGCCUGUGUCUUCAUUUAUCCAGCCAGUAAUGUACGGAUAUGGCAAAGCCUCUGCCUUCAAAAAACCAGCAGUCCAGGGUGGGGGAUGUGGGUGAUAAAUGUAAAUAGAUCACUUUAGAGGCAGAUAACGCACAUGAGCAGGAGGUUCUGUAGAGAAGGGCUCGCAGAGUGGAGUGUGAUCAGAUCUAGACUGGGAAGCAGGGUCAGGAAGGCUUCUCAGAAGAAAUGACCCUAAAGCUGAUUAGGAUCACAGGAUCACAUUCCCACAAUGGGAGGGGUCUUCCAGGCAGUGAGACCAGCACAUGCGAAGGCAGCACAGGUGAAGUGAAAUAGGUCAGAGAACUGGGAAAUUCAGAGCAGGCAGAACAAGGGUAAAAACCAGAUGCAUGUAAGAUCUAAGGCUGAAGAGACACGCAGGGUUCAGACUGUGGAGGACUUUUCCAGCUAGGAGGCCGAUCCCAUCCCAUAGAAGGUAAAGAGCUGGUGAAGGGAUUUCAAGAGAGAAGUAAAGUUGCUUUAAAUGCUGGCUCACUGCAGAGUAGAGAGUGGAUGGGGAGGGGUGAGACUGGAGACAGACCACUUGAGGAACUGUUAAUAAAGGUGAAAGAGGACGUAACUUAGAGAAGAUCUGUGUCAAAGGAGCUGAAGAAAAGUGACUGAAUGUAAUAGUGUUUUAGAAGGGAGAAUCUACCAUGAUGAGGAAGGAAAAGAAAAGGCUGGUUUCCAGUCCAUUGUAAGAGAAAGAGGUGGAAGUAGAAGGAGAGGGAUCCCUUAUAGGAUUAAGAAUGGAUGUGCUCCUUCCUCUUUUGGGGACCUCAGUUUCCACCCAGAAAAUAAAGGAACUACAAAUCUUCUGAGAUGGACUCCUUCCCUCUUCUCCCAGGGUGAGUCGAGUUUUCCUUUCUCUCGAUGCUGCAGCAGUGUCUGUGUCAGUCUCACACUGCUUGGCUUUAGCCUGUAGUUUGCAUGCCCGGCUUCCUCAAGUUGACUCCAAGGUCCUAGAGGGCAGGGCUGCCCUGUUCUCUGCAUCCUCAAUCGCUGCUAUGAGGAGAUGCUCCCACCCUCAAGGAUGGAGACACUGGUGUUCCUGAUACAGGUCAAGUUCCUUCUCACUGUCUGUCAUCC
rnacentral:lncRNA from 1 species